CCUACGGGUGGCAGCAGUGGGGAAUAUUGCGCAAUGGGCGAAAGUCUGACGCAGCGACGCCGCGUGAGGGAUGAAGGUCUUCGGAUCGUAAACCUCUGUCAGCAGGGAAGAACGGUCACUGUGCUAAUCAGCACUGAAUUGACGGUACCUGCAAAGGAAGCACAGGCUAACUCCGUGCCAGCAGCCGCGGUAAUACGGAGGGUGCGAGCGUUAAUUGGAAUUAUUGGGCGUAAGGCGCGCGUAGGCGGUAUGUCAAGUCAAGGGUGAAAUCCCCGGGCUCAACGUGGGAAUUGCCUUUGAUACUGGCAAGCUGGAGUGUGUGAGCGGAUGGUGGAAUGUAAGGUGUAGGGGUGAAAUCCGUAGAUAUC
rnacentral:rRNA from 1 species